rnacentral:rRNA from 1 species
GAAAGCUAGGGGAGCAAACGGGAUUAGAAACCCCCGGUAGUCCUAGCUGUAAACGAUGGAUGCUAGGUGUGAGCAGAACUAACCCUGCGCGUGCCGAAGCUAACGCGUUAAGCAUCCCGCCUGGGAACUACGAGCGCAAGCUUAAAACUCAAAGGAAUUGACGGGGACCCGCACAAGCAGCGGAGCGUGUGGUUUAAUUCGAUGCUACACGAAGAACCUUACCCAGGUUUGACAUACAGGUAGUAGUGGAGCGAAAGCGGAACGACCCGCAAGGGAGCCUGAACAGGUGUUGCGUGGCUGUCGUCAGCUCGUGUCGUGAGAUGUUGGUUUAAGUACCCUAACGAGCGCAACCCUCGUUGCCAGUUACAAGUGUCUGGCGAGACUGCCGGCCGCAAGCCGGAGGAAGGCGGGGAUGACGUCAAGUCAGCAUGGCCUUUAUAUCUGGGGCUACACACACGCUACAAUGGGUAGCAACAAUGGGUUGCCAAGCCGCGAGGUGGAGCCAAUCCCAUAAAACUGCCCUCAGUUCAGAUUGCAGGCUGCAACCCGCCUGCAUGAAGUCGGAGUUGCUAGUAAACGCGCGUCAGCUAUAGUGCGUUGAAUACGUUCCCGGGUCUUGUACACACCGCCCGUCACACUAUGGGAGCUGACAACACCUGAAGCCAGUAGCGUAACCGCAAGGAGCGCGCUGUCAAAGGUGGGGUUGGUGACUGGAGUGAAGUCGUAACAAGGUAACCGUA